CAAGAUCAGAGACAUUUUCUGGCAGUCACAGUAGAUAAAUGCAGCUUUGCUCACCCAACAGCUCUACUUGCCUGCCUGUCCUCAAGAGCUUCCUCUUGACCAUCAGCAUUAGCCAAGAAAAUAACUACAGUAGGCUAAAAAGAGUUAUGUAAUACACCUCCAGAGGGAUGUUUCCAAUGAAUCCUGCAAGGAACUGCUUGGUGUUGAGAAACCUAAAAAUGACAGAUCACCUACACAUAUCAACAUAAAGCAGUUCUGUAAGGGAAUAACAUAAUGCUUGGUGAAUGCUAAGGAGCCUACAUCUGCUUUCCAAAUAGUCUUUCCACUUAUUCUCAACCUACAUGAAGCAUCCCAGCUUUGCAGUGUAACACUUAAAACAGAUUAACCUCCAUCAUAUCCAAGAAAAAUCACAAGGCAACUAAACCCCAGAGCUCGGCAGCAGUAUUUGCAAUUUUCAGUAACAACCUGGAAGUCGUCCUGAAGAGCCUCCUCAUUAAAGCUGGGAACAACACCGAUCUGAGGGAGAGCAGCUACUCUUACUGUCAGGCUGACUGAAAAGCUGAGGCAGGAUCUGAAGAUGGUGGUGACAUUCCAUGAAGUGUGAAGCUGUCCUGCACUCAGGAAGGGUGACAGGUCACACUGGGUAAGCUUUAAGCUACAACAAAAAUCCCCACAAAUCCAGCCUGAGUGUGUCCAUGGGGCUAAUUGCUGCUGAGGGACCCAAGUUGUGCAUGGAUGUGACGUGGGGAUGUGGGGACCCAUACUGGCCUGAAACACAGACAAAGCCAUGGAACACAUCUGAGACCAGAGCAAAGGAAACGUAUUUUACCUCAGCCAAAACCGCAGGGAAACAGGAGGACAGAGCCUCACCGA